CAAGUAAGAGGCUUUCCUGUUCAGGGACUCAGCAUCUGAGCAGACACUGGGUGCUCUAAAGUGGCACUGCUGAGUGCAUGUCUGGGAAGUGCCUGUGAGUUCAGCGAAUCCAGCAGGGCUGUCUCGGUUGCCCUCAGACCGAGAACCUGUGACACUGGUGGGGUGAGGAAUGAGCCGUGGCCACUGCCGAAAACUCUGUCGGCUCCUAGAUAAGUCCCACCGAAGGGGCAUUGGUGACCUCCUUGGUGCCACAGAAUCUCCUGCUCCAGCCCUGCUGUAGACCUGUGGCUCUAGGUUACUUGCUUUAUUAUGACCCGUUGCCCUCAGCUGCCUUCAACCUCUCGGUGAUAGGUUGUUUGGCUUGGAAGAGAGUCUGGUACCCAGCCCAGGCCUUCCCGUGGGACCUUCAGGAGAGAGAAGGCCCCAUCCCAGAGUGUGCCUCAUUGAACAAGGAUUUUGAGGAAUGGCAGCUGCAGGAGAAGCUCUAAGAAGUCGCCCUUUUGGAAGGGGAAUUUACCUCUGUGAAGGAAUCUCUACCUGCCGGGUGUCUCCUCUGGGAUCCAGGAAGAAGAGGGAAACUCAGUUACAAGAGACACUUGUUGAGGAGAAAGCUCUAUUACAAGCCCACAGCAAGUUGUGGCCUUGGUCACCUGCCUUUCUGGUCACCUCCCCGUUGCCGGCCACCCCCAUCUUCUUUCUUUAUUUUAGUUGAAGAUAAGCUAGGGUUCUGGGCCACCUCCUGCAGAUUUGUGCGUCUUCCCCUGGAGUUUGCCACCCACGCAUGAGGUGUGUGGAUUAAUAAACUUCUGUUUUUCUCUUGUUCAUCUGCCAUGGGUUACAGGCGUCCAGUUUUUCUUCUCCUACAGGGAAACAAUUUGCUCCACUGGGAAGAGGGGAAAAGGCCACAGAAAGGCAAGUUGACCAGAAGACCCCUCACAGCGUCCCCUUAUCAUCACCUCCUCUGCCUCUAGGGAAGUCUUGGGGGCUGGUGGUGCAUUGGCUAGGUGCAGAGGCAAUGGCUACAGGCUGGGACCACUGUGGAAGCCCCCAGACUGAAGCCCCACUGCCUGAUCUCAUCAUCCUUUGCAUCACUCUGUGACCUAUGACUUUGACC
rnacentral:lncRNA from 10 species